CUUUCUCCCUCUCUCCUGGCUGUGCUGUGCUGUGCUCUGCUGGUAUGUCUGGAAAGUUCACGGUGAGGUGAAUGGAAUGGAUGACACAGCACUGGAGCAGUAAAUCCAAAGCUCUCAGAUUGGACGGAACCUGGCGUUGCAGUGCUGGGCUCCGAUUGGCCGUACGAAGCUCUGGAGUUUUGGAGUGAAUCCGGUGUUGAAGUGCUGAUGUUGAAACUGAAUUAGUGUUAAAGUGCUGAGAAGAUGUUGGGAAAGGAGGCAUUCUGUCCAGAAGAUCAGUGCUUCCCGUGAGGCACAGUGUGUCAUCUGGUUCUACAGAACUCAGUCUCUCUACCAGUGAACUAGUGAUUGCUCACCCUUAGCCCACAUCCUGCAAUCCACGGACAAGCACAAAACAGGAUUUCAAAACUUCCUGAGCUGUGACUUAUAGUUUGAAAAAAAUAAACUUGGGCCCUGUGA